rnacentral:rRNA from 1 species
AGUGAACGCUGGCGGUAGGCCUAACACAUGCAAGUCGAACGGCAGCACAGUAAGAGCUUGCUCUUACGGGUGGCGAGUGGCGGACGGGUGAGGAAUACAUCGGAAUCUACUUUUUCGUGGGGGAUAACGUAGGGAAACUUACGCUAAUACCGCAUACGACCUACGGGUGAAAGCAGGGGAUCUUCGGACCUUGCGCGAUUGAAUGAGCCGAUGUCGGAUUAGCUAGUUGGCGGGGUAAAGGCCCACCAAGGCGACGAUCCGUAGCUGGUCUGAGAGGAUGAUCAGCCACACUGGAACUGAGACACGGUCCAGACUCCUACGGGAGGCAGCAGUGGGGAAUAUUGGACAAUGGGCGCAAGCCUGAUCCAGCCAUACCGCGUGGGUGAAGAAGGCCUUCGGGUUGUAAAGCCCUUUUGUUGGGAAAGAAAAGGAGCAGGUUAAUACCCCGCUGUUCUGACGGUACCCAAAGAAUAAGCACCGGCUAACUUCGUG